GCCCCUACCAGCAACUGGGAGGUGGGGCUGGGAACAUAAGAUGAGAUCUCUGAGGUGCUGGGAAGAAAUUAAAAAGAGGAAACAUACUGAAAAGAAGACAGAAGAGAGAACGCGAAGGGAAGAGUGGUCACCAGCCCACUCCCAGGCCAGGAUCCCAGCACACUCACCUCUGGAGACUGGCUACGACGAGGGGCAUCCAGACUGCUCCUGCAGCGAGAGAGACUCUGGUUAGACACAAGGAA
rnacentral:lncRNA from 1 species